rnacentral:rRNA from 1 species
UACGUAGGGAGCAAGCGUUGUCCGGAAUCAUUGGGCGUAAAGCGCGCGUAGGCGGCCCCGUAAGUCCGCUGUGAAAGUCAAAGGCUCAACCUUUGAAAGCCGGUGGAUACUGUGGGGCUAGAGUCCGGAAGAGGCGAGUGGAAUUCCUGGUGUAGCGGUGGGAAUGGCGCAGAUAUCAGGAGGAACACCGGUGGCGAAAGGC